rnacentral:rRNA from 1 species
CCUACGUGCGGCAGCAGUGAGGAAUAUUGGUCAAUGGACGCAAGUCUGAACCAGCCAUGCCGCGUGCAGGAAGACGGCUCUAUGAGUUGUAAACUGCUUUUGUACGAGGGUAAAUCCCGAUACGUGUAUCGGGUUGAAAGUAUCGUACGAAUAAGGAUCGGCUAACUCCGUGCCAGCCGCCGCGGUAAUACGGAGGAUUCAAGCGUUAUCCGGAUUUAUUGGGUUUAAAGGAGACGUAGGCGGUACGAUAAGUUAGAGGUGAAAUCCCGGGGCUCAACUCCGGCACUGCCUCUGAUACUGGCGAGCUAGAGUGUAGUUGCGGUAGGCGGAAUGUAUGGUGUAGCGGUGAAAUGCGUAGAGAUCAUACAGAACACCGAUUGCGAAGGCAGCUUACCAAACGACGACUGACGUUGAGGAACGAAAGCGUGGGGAGCAAACAGGAUUAGAUACCCGGGUAGUC